rnacentral:rRNA from 1 species
AUGGGAGGGUGCUUCUCCGGCGACGUCCGCGGCGGCAUGGAGGCCGUCGGCGGGGGCGCGAGGGGGGCGACGGCGGCGGCGGGGCAGUGCCAGGGCCAGGGCGGGCCCAACGAGGCGGUCGACCACUUCUUCCAGGGCCAGGCGCUGCGCCUCUACACCCCUCUCGAGCUAUCCUUUUCAGCUUCCAAGUUGAGAAAUAUGGAUGCUCUUUCUAAGAGUGAUCCUAUGUUGGUGGUUUACACAAAAAUGGAUGGAAGGCUAGAAGAGAUCGGCCGCACUGAAGUGAUAUUGAAUUCACUGGAACCAUUGUGGAUCACAAAAGCUAUGAUAAAUUACCAAUUUGAGAUUGUGCAACCGCUCGUGUUCAGGAUAUAUGACGUUGACACAAAGUACCAUAACACACCACUGAAGAUGUUGAACUUGGCUCAGCAAGAUUUUCUAGGGGAAGCAUUCUGCAAUUUAUCUGAGAUAGUCACAAAGUUCAACCAUAGCCUGACUUUGAACCUCCGAAAUGGUUCUGGACAUGCCCUUCAGGGCACAGUGACAGUACAUGCCGAAGAAACUGCUUCAUCAAGGAUGGCAGUUGAUAUGCAAUUCCACUGCCUGAACUUGGAUAACAAAGACACGUUCUCCAAAAGUGAUCCUUUCUUGAGAGUAUCAAGACUGUCAGAAAGUGCUGUUGCCAUUCCUAUAUGUAAAACAGAGGUGAUCAAGAACAAUUUAAACCCUGUUUGGAGGCCUAUAACACUGACAUCACAGCAGUACAGUAGCAAGGAUGACCCACUGCUAGUUGAGUGUUUUGAUUUUGAUGCCAGCGGCAACCAUGAACUUAUUGGGGCUCUCCAGACAACUAUCGCUCAGCUUGAAAAUCUAUAUAACUCAAAGGCUGGAGCAAAUUUUUACAGCCAUAAGGGACAAAAGAAGUUGAAAGGACAGCUGUUCUUGGAUAAGUUCCAGGAAAAAGUUCAACAUACUUUCUUGGACUAUAUUUCCAGCGGGUUUGAGCUCAAUUUUAUGGUGGCUGUAGAUUUUACUGCAUCAAAUGGUGACCCCCGUGUACCACAAUCUUUGCACUACAUUGACCCCUCUGGCAGACCAAACUCAUACCAGCAGGCAAUUCUAGGGGUAAGCGAAGUUCUACAGUUUUAUGACAAUGAUAGACGAUUCCCUGCAUGGGGUUUUGGUGCAAAGAUACCACGAGGAUCUGUAUCCCACUGUUUCAACUUGAAUGCAAGCACCAAUGACUGUGAGGUAGUUGGAGUUGAAGGCAUCAUGUCAGCAUACUCUUCUACUCUUUACAGCGUUUCUCUCGCGGGGCCAACCUUGUUUGGGCCAGUGAUCAGCAAAGCUGCAGAAAUUGCCAGCCAUUCUGUGCAAUAUGGAAACAACAAAUAUUUUGUCCUGCUCAUUAUCACGGAUGGAGUUAUCACUGACCAGCAAGAAACAAAAGAUUCUAUUGUAAGGGCAUCAGAUUUGCCGUUGUCGAUUCUCAUCGUGGGAGUAGGGAAUGCUGAUUUCACUCAAAUGAGGAUCCUGGAUGCGGACUUCGGUAAGCGGCUUGAAAGCUCAACAGGCAGGGUUGCAACGCGUGACAUAGUCCAGUUCGUCCCCAUGAGGGAAGUCCAAGCAGGUGGGCAGGUCACCGUUGUCCAGAGCCUGCUGGAGGAGCUGCCUGGGCAGUUCCUGGAGUACAUGCGCACCCGGGACAUCAAGCCGCGACCGCCCCAGCAUGCCUCGGCGCCGCCAGCCUACCCCCCUCCUCCCCAGCUGUGA